rnacentral:rRNA from 1 species
AGUGAACGCUGGCGGUAGGCCUAACACAUGCAAGUCGAACGGCAGCACAGUAAGAGCUUGCUCUUACGGGUGGCGAGUGGCGGACGGGUGAGGAAUACAUCGGAAUCUACUUUUUCGUGGGGGAUAACGUAGGGAAACUUACGCUAAUACCGCAUACGACCUACGGGUGAAAGCAGGGGAUCUUCGGACCUUGCGCGAUUGAAUGAGCCGAUGUCGGAUUGGCUAUUUGGCGGGGUAAAGGCCCACCAAGGCGACGAUCCGAGCUGGUCUGAGAGGAUGAUCAGCCACACUGGAACUGAGACACGGUCCAGACUCCUACGGGAGGCAGCAGUGGGGAAUAUUGGACAAUGGGCGCAAGCCUGAUCCAGCCAUACCGCGUGGGUGAAGAAGGCCUUCGGGUUGUAAAGCCCUUUUGUUGGGAAAGAAAAGCAGCAGGUUAAUACCCCGCUGUUCUGACGGUACCCAAAGAAUAAGCACCGGCUAACUUCGUG